rnacentral:rRNA from 1 species
UACGGAGGAUGCAAGCGUUAUCCGGAAUUAUUGGGCGUAAAGCGUCCGUAGGUGGCUUUACAAGUCAGCUGUUAAAGCGUGGAGCUUAACUCCAUAAAGGCAGUUGAAACUGUGAGGCUAGAGUGCGGUAGGGGUAAGGGGAAUUCCUAGUGUAGCGGUGAAAUGCGUAGAUAUUAGGAAGAACACCGGUGGCGAAAGCGCCUUGCUGGACCUGCACUGACACUGAGGGACGAAAGCUAGGGAGCGAAAGGG